rnacentral:rRNA from 1 species
GAUGAACGCUGGCGGCGUGCUUAACACAUGCAAGUCGAACGGAAAGGCCCAAGCUUGCUUGGGUACUCGAGUGGCGAACGGGUGAGUAACACGUGGGUGAUCUGCCCUGCAUUUCGGGAUAAGCCUGGGAAACUGGGUCUAAUACCGGAUAGGACCACAUUUUGGAUGGUGUGGUGGAAAGUUUUUCGGUGUGGGAUGAGCUCGCGGCCUAUCAGCUUGUUGGUGGGGUAAUGGCCUACCAAGGCGUCGACGGGUAGCCGGCCUGAGAGGGUGUACGGCCACAUUGGGACUGAGAUACGGCCCAGACUCCUACGGGAGGCAGCAGUGGGGAAUAUUGCACAAUGGGCGCAAGCCUGAUGCAGCGACGCCGCGUGGGGGAUGACGGCCUUCGGGUUGUAAACUCCUUUCGCUAGGGACGAAGCGUUAUGUGACGGUACCUGGAGAAGAAGCACCGGCUAACUACGUG